rnacentral:rRNA from 1 species
GACGAACGCUGGCGGCGUGCUUAACACAUGCAAGUCGAACGCUGAAGCUUGGUGCUUGCACUGGGUGGAUGAGUGGCGAACGGGUGAGUAAUACGUGAGUAACCUGCCCUUGACUCUGGGAUAAGCCUGGGAAACUGGGUCUAAUACUGGAUACGACAUGCCACUGCAUGGUGGUGUGUGGAAAGGGUUUUACUGGUUUUGGAUGGGCUCACGGCCUAUCAGCUUGUUGGUGGGGUAAUGGCCUACCAAGGCGAUGACGGGUAGCCGGCCUGAGAGGGUGACCGGCCACACUGGGACUGAGACACGGCCCAGACUCCUACGGGAGGCAGCAGUGGGGAAUAUUGCACAAUGGGCGGAAGCCUGAUGCAGCGACGCCGCGUGAGGGAUGACGGCCUUCGGGUUGUAAACCUCUUUCAGCACGGAAGAAGCGAGAGUGACGGUACGUGCAGAAGAAGCGCCGGCUAACUACGUG